rnacentral:lncRNA from 1 species
UAGAUGAAACCCUAAAGUCUUCUGCUCGUUCUCUCUCUAAGUUCACUAGCUACAACAAAUCGAUAGGUGAUUUGUAAAUCGAUAACUUGUUUUGAUUUGUGUUGCCGCAGAUUAAAAUGGUUAAAGUGGCAGUCUUCUUGUUUGCUGUCAGCGUUGGUUGUUUACGGUGGUUUUGGCAAAGCUCCGGCGGUGGUUUAUAUACAUGGUGGUCACCGGAAUUUAACCUUCCUUCUGUUUAAAGAUUUUGAAGAUUACAGAGAUUUUUACGUUUUGGUUCAGAGCUCUGUAGGUUCUGUUGGGAUCCACUCCACUGGAGUUGAUAUGUGAGGGGAAUGGGAAUGGUCACUGAGAAAAUUGUCAACUUAUUGAAGAAUGAAAAUAUGUUUGAAUCACAAGGAGGCUUGCUUUUUCUUUCUUAGAUUGUUUGAGUGAUGGUUGGUGCAAGUUGAGAAUGAGUACGGAUCUAUAGGAAAGGCGUAUGGAGGUGCGGCUACAACUACAUGACUUAGGCUGCAAACAUGGCGGUUAAAUUGGACACCCCAUUCGUAAUGUGCAAGCAAGAUAGUACUCACAACCAAAUGUUCCAUUUUUUGCUCUACACAUUUGCAGAGAAUUUGAAAUCAUCCACGGGAUGAGACGAGACGAGAAAACAGUGGGUUAGCAUACCUUCUUUUCUUGGCGAAUAGAGAGUUUUCGAUUAUCUGUUGAAAAGGUAAAAGCUGGCGUGGAAACUCAAGUUGAUUUCGUUAAGUCACUUGCUUUUGAAGCCUGUGUUGCUUUCUUUACAGACAUACAAGAUUGCGGCCUUUGUGAACUGGCUACACGGAGAACUCUCCUUCUUGGUUGAUGAGAGGGCAGUAUUGAAGCACUUUGAAGCACUUUGACUUGCCAGAAGGGAAAGCAGGUGCACUAAGAAAAGCAAGCUUUGAAUAUCAAGACCUGAACUAUGUAUCCAAACACGUAACUUUGUUGAUGAUUCAAAUCACUCCUAUGAAUAUGCUUUAAAGAAUGUACAAGUUGCUGUAUGUAUCCAAACACUUGAUAUUUAGUUUUAAAUAUCUUUU